rnacentral:rRNA from 1 species
AACGAACGCUGGCGGCAUGCCUAACACAUGCAAGUCGAACGAGACCUUCGGGUCUAGUGGCGCACGGGUGCGUAACGCGUGGGAACCUGCCCUUAGGUUCGGAAUAACUCCCCGAAAGGGGUGCUAAUACCGGAUAAUGUCUUCGGACCAAAGAUUUAUCGCCUUUGGAUGGGCCCGCGUUGGAUUAGCUAGUUGGUAGGGUAAAAGCCUACCAAGGCGACGAUCCAUAGCUGGUCUGAGAGGAUGAUCAGCCACACUGGGACUGAGACACGGCCCAGACUCCUACGGGAGACAGCAGUGGGGAAUAUUGGACAAUGGGCGAAAGCCUGAUCCAGCAAUGCCGCGUGAGUGACGAAGGCCUUAGGGUUGUAAAGCUCUUUUACCCGGGAUGAUAAUGACAGUACCGGGAGAAUAAGCUCCGGCUAACUCCGUG